AUAUUUCAACUUUGUCAAAUUAUGCUGCAUGAAAAAUGGCAUCUAAAAUCAAGGUAGCAAUUACUGGAGCCACAGGGAGGACUUCUUGCUCCUUGGUGUGCAAGAUUCUGACUGCGAAGGAUUGUUUCGAUGUUCCAAAAUGCCUUCUAAGGUCUAUCGCUAAAGCAAAAGAGAAGUAUGAAGAUGUAUGGGGCGAGUUGAAAGGCAACUGCCACGAAGUGGAUAUCACUGCUGAUAACAGCACAGAUGUCAUGACAGAGCUUUUCAAGGACUGCAAUGCUCUAGUUAUUCGUUGUUGUAGGAUUCAAAGACGGGAGAGUUUUUUUCUUGCCUGAUGACGGAACAAAUAAAGGUAGUCCUGAGUUGGUGGAUUGGAUUGGUCAGCAACGUCAAGUUGAUGCAGCGAAGAGAGCUUCUUCCUUAGACGACCUUUCCCUUACUUUCAUCUAAUAUUUCAACUUUGUCAAAUUAUGCUGCAUGAAAAAUGGCAUCUAAAAUCAAGGUAGCAAUUACUGGAGCCACAGGGAGGACUUCUUGCUCCUUGGUGUGCAAGAUUCUGACUGCGAAGGAUUGUUUCGAUGUUCCAAAAUGCCUUCUAAGGUCUAUCGCUAAAGCAAAAGAGAAGUAUGAAGAUGUAUGGGGCGAGUUGAAAGGCAACUGCCACGAAGUGGAUAUCACUGCUGAUAACAGCACAGAUGUCAUGACAGAGCUUUUCAAGGACUGCAAUGCUCUAGUUAUUCGUUGUUGUAGGAUUCAAAGACGGGAGAGUUUUUUUCUUGCCUGAUGACGGAACAAAUAAAGGUAGUCCUGAGUUGGUGGAUUGGAUUGGUCAGCAACGUCAAGUUGAUGCAGCGAAGAGAGCUGGCGUUGCACAUGUAGUGAUGGUUGGAUCAAUGGGAACAACAAAAGCUGCUCCGGACGAAUUUAUGGGGUGUUUCAAGUACAAGCGACAAUCCGAAGAUUAUCUGAUCAAGAGUGGCCUCACCUACACUAUCGUGAACCCGUGUAUGCUCGUGGAUGGAGAAGAAGGAACAAGGGAACUUGUUUUCAGCAAGAGUGAUAAACUAAAUUUCAGUGGAUCCUCCAAAGAGUAUCAAGUGGCUAGGAAGACUGUAGCAGAAGUUGUACUUCAGACACUGCUUGUGCCUGAGGCUAAGCAUAAAGCAUUUGAUUUGCUCGGUCGUGUUGAGAUACCGCCUACAAAAGCUGUCGACUAUGUUGCUGUUUUCAAGGAGAUGACUCCUGGACUUUAAGGACAGACUUUUAUAUCUGUAUGCAUGUCAUAUCUAGAAUUAAACUCUUGAUAUUUUAAGCUGUAAGUUUUUAACGUUUGAAAAU